rnacentral:rRNA from 1 species
UACGUAGGGUGCAAGCGUUGUCCGGAAUUAUUGGGCGUAAAGAGCUCGUAGGCGGUUUGUCGCGUCUGCUGUGAAAACGCGAGGCUCAACCUCGCGCCUGCAGUGGGUACGGGCAGACUAGAGUGCGGUAGGGGAGAUUGGAAUUCCUGGUGUAGCGGUGGAAUGCGCAGAUAUCAGGAGGAACACCGAUGGCGAAGGCAGAUCUCUGGGCCGUUACUGACGCUGAGGAGCGAAAGCGUGGGGAGCAAACAGG